UACAGAGGUCCCCGAGCGUUGUUCGGAUUCAUUGGGCGUAAAGGGUGCGUAGGCGGCUUCCUAAGUUUGAUGUGAAAUCCCGGGGCUCAACCCUGGAAUUGCAUUGAAUACUGGGAGGCUAGAGUACUGGAGAGGAAACUGGAAUUUACGGUGUAGCAGUGAAAAUGCGUAGAGAUCGUAAGGAAGACCAGUGGCGAAGGCGAGUUUCUGGACAGUAACUGACGCUGAGGCACGAAGGCCAGGGGGAGCAAACGGG
rnacentral:rRNA from 1 species